UCUCCGUAGGUGAACCUGCGGAGGGAUCAUUACCGAGUUCAUGCCCUUACGGGUAGACCUCCCACCCUAUGUUAUAUUACCUUUGUUGCUUUGGCGGGCCGCCCGGCUUCGGCCAGGCUACCGGCUCCAGCUGGUAAGCGCUCGCCAGAGGACCCCCAACUCUGAAUAUCAGUGUCGUCCGAGUACUAUAAAAUAGUUAAAACUUUCAACAACGGAUCUCUUGGUUCUG
rnacentral:misc_RNA from 1 species